rnacentral:rRNA from 2 species
AGCCUGAUGCAGCCAUGCCGCGUGUGUGAAGAAGGCCUUCGGGUUGUAAAGCACUUUCAGCGAGGAGGAAAGGUUAACGGUUAAUACCCGUUAGCUGUGACGUUACUCGCAGAAGAAGCACCGGCUAACUUCGUGCCAGCAGCCGCGGUAAUACGAGGGGUGCAAGCGUUAAUCGGAAUUACUGGGCGUAAAGCGUACGCAGGCGGUUUGUUAAGCGAGAUGUGAAAGCCCCGGGCUCAACCUGGGAACUGCAUUUCGAACUGGCAAACUAGAGUCUUGUAGAGGGGGGUAGAAUUUCAGGUGUAGCGGUGAAAUGCGUAGAGAUCUGAAGGAAUACCGGUGGCGAAGGCGGCCCCCUGGACAAAGACUGACGCUCAGGUACGAAAGCGUGGGGAGCAAACAGGAUUAGAUACCCUGGUAGUCCACGCCGUAAACGAUGUCUACUCGGAAUUUGGUGUCUUGAACACUGGGUUCUCAAGCUAACGCAUUAAGUAGACCGCCUGG